GAGCGGCGCACGGGUGCGGAACACGUGUGCAACCUGCCUUUAUCUGGGGGAUAGCCUUUCGAAAGGAAGAUUAAUACCCCAUAAUAUAUUGAGUGGCAUCACUUGAUAUUGAAAACUCCGGUGGAUAGAGAUGGGCACGCGCAAGAUUAGAUAGUUGGUGAGGUAACGGCUCACCAAGUCAAUGAUCUUUAGGGGGCCUGAGAGGGUGAUCCCCCACACUGGUACUGAGACACGGACCAGAUUCCUACGGGAGGCAGCAGUGAGGAAUAUUGGACAAUGGGUGAGAGCCUGAUCCAGCCAUCCCGCGUGAAGGACGACUGCCCUAUGGGUUGUAAACUUCUUUUAUACUGGGAUAAACCUACCCUCGUGAGGGUAGCUGAAGGUACAGUAUGAAUAAGCACCGGCUAACUCCGUGCCAGCAGCCGCGGUAAUACGGAGGGUGCAAGCGUUAUCCGGAUUUAUUGGGUUUAAAGGGUCCGUAGGCGGACUCGUAAGUCAGUGGUGAAAUCUCAUAGCUUAACUAUGAAACUGCCAUUGAUACUGCGGGUCUUGAGUAAAGUAGAAGUGGCUGGAAUAAGUAGUGUAGCGGUGAAAUGCAUAGAUAUUACUUAGAACACCAAUUGCGAAGGCAGGUCACUAUGUUUUAACUGACGCUGAUGGACGAAAGCGUGGGGAGCGAACAGGAUUAGAUACCCUGGUAGUCCACGCCGUAAACGAUGCUAACUCGUUUUUGGGUUUUCGGAUUCAGAGACUAAGCGAAAGUGAUAAGUUAGCCACCUGGGGAGUACGUUCGCAAGAAUGAAACUCAAAGGAAUUGACGGGGGCCCGCACAAGCGGUGGAUUAUGUGGUUUAAUUCGAUGAUACGCGAGGAACCUUACCAAGGCUUAAAUGGGAAUUGACAGGUUUAGAAAUAGAUCCUUCUUCGGACAAUUUUCAAGGUGCUGCAUGGUUGUCGUCAGCUCGUGCCGUGAGGUGUUAGGUUAAGUCCUGCAACGAGCGCAACCCCUGUCACUAGUUGCCAUCAUUCAGUUGGGGACUCUAGUGAGACUGCCUACGCAAGUAGAGAGGAAGGUGGGGAUGACGUCAAAUCAUCACGGCCCUUACGCCUUGGGCCACACACGUAAUACAAUGGCCGGUACAGAGGGCAGCUACUAUGCGAAUAGAUGCGAAUCUCGAAAGCCGGUCUCAGUUCGGAUUGGAGUCUG
rnacentral:rRNA from 1 species